rnacentral:rRNA from 1 species
CGCGUAGGACCUCACGGAACUCUUCGGAGGGAAGUGAAGGGAAUGAGCGGCGGACGGGUGAGUAACACGUAAGGAACCUGCCCCAAGGAUUGGGAUAACUCCGAGAAAUCGGAGCUAAUACCGAAUAGUUCUUCAGACCGCAUGGUCUGAUGAUGAAAGGCGCUCCGGCGUCACCUUGGGAUGGCCUUGCGGUGCAUUAGCUAGUUGGUGGGGUAAUGGCCCACCAAGGCGACGAUGCAUAGCCGACCUGAGACAGGGUCCGACUCUACUGGGACUGAGACACGGCCCAGACUUAUACGGGAGGCAGCAGUAGGGAAUCUUCCACAAUGGACGAAAGUCUGAUGGAGCAACGCCGCGUGAGUGAUGAAGGUUUUCGGAUCGUAAAACUCUGUUGUAAGGGAAGAACAAGUACGAGAGGUAAUGCUCGUACCUUGACGGUACCUUGCGAGAAAGCCACGGCUAACUACGUGCCAGCAGCCGCGGUAAUACGUAGGUGGCAAGCGUUGUCCGGAAUUAUUGGGCGUAAAGCGCGCGCAGGCGGCCUUUUAAGUCUGAUGUGAAAGCCCCCGGCUCAACCGGGGAGGGUCAUUGGAAACUGGAAGGCUUGAGUACAGAAGAGAAGAGUGGAAUUCCAUGUGUAGCGGUGAAAUGCGUAGAGAUGUGGAGGAACACCAGUGGCGAAGGCGACUCUUUGGUCUGUAACUGACGCUGAGGCGCGAAAGCGUGGGGAGCAAACAGGAUUAGAUACCCUGGUAGUCCACGCCGUAAACGAUGAGUGCUAGGUGUUGGGGGGUUCCGCCCCUCAGUGCUGAAGCUAACGCAUUAAGCACUCCGCCUGGGAGUACGGCCGCAAGGCUGAAACUCAAAGGAAUUGACGGGGACCCGCACAAGCGGUGGAGCAUGGGGUUUAAUUCCGAAGCAACGCGAAGAACCU